UCCCCAACCCUUAGCUGAGAUUUUUAUUCAUAACUUGUAGAGUUGAGAUUACUGGAUUGCAGAUUAAACAAUGUUUUUUUGUUUGUUUGUUUGUUUAAUAGCUAUAGUAUCAUCAUUUCUACUGGUUUUUUGAAGUUCUGUUCUCAGAUGUAACUGCCGAGGUGCAGAGAAAGUCGAGCAAUGCCUGAAACACAUUGGGUACACCAAGACCUUAAUAUGAGCCACAGGCCUGAACCCAACAAGUGAAAAUUCCAGGGCAUCUAGUUUGGAAGAAUCACACUCGUGCAUGCCUUCACACUUGGUAUUCUGUGGACUUAUCAUUGUGUACUAAACACUUCUUAUUGCCUUGGUUUCCAGCUCUCCUCCUGAGUAGAAAUUCAGUAAAGAUCUCACCCAAUAACAUUGAUUUGCAGCGAUAUUUAUUCACAAUAGUCUUGCGAAGACAACGUUCAGAAAGAAUGGGAAGGCAACAGUGCACUAUUCUGGAGGAGAGAACACCUCAGCAGUAUCAAUCAGAGGCAUGGAUGGCUGGUGUCACUUUCAGACUUCAAGAUUGAACGUGUACCAUGUCUACAGUCAAUAUUACAUGGAGGGCAAAAAGGAUUUUGGAUCGCCUAGAACCAGAGUCACGGGUUUAUUCUUCAUAAAUUGAACAAGGUAAACUCUCUGAUUUUAAAUCCAUAUUCUUAAACUGUAUUUUUAAUUACUCCACCAUCUUUUACUUAUGGUUGUGGUUUAUGCAAAAGGUAAACAACUAUUGAGCUAAAUCUGUUGAAAAUUGUUAUUGUAAUCUAUGGUUGAUGAUGGAUUAGCCUUAUUCUUUUUUCUUUGAAUCACAAUAUUUCAAAAGACAUCUACUCUUCAUGACGUGUUUUCUGAUGGGAAGACGUCAAUGUUGAAAUAAAUACUGGUGUGCUCAUUCAUCGCCUGUCGAUGUACAAUUCAAUAUCAUCUAACAACAAAAUCAGCAUUCCAGUAUUCAGGAAUAUGAAACAUGGGGUAUUUUAAUGAAUAAAUUCUGUGUACAGGGAGAAAAUAUAUAUACGAUGUAUUUGAUAGAUUAGGCAUUGUGAAUUAAUGAAACUGGUCUGAUGAAUUAAUCUAGUAGCAGUUAACUAAUUAUACAGGCAUUUGAGCAAAGUGAGCUAUUUUGAUUGGGUCUUAAAUUAAAAUGCCUAUAUUAAGGGCAUCAGAAGAAAUGUAUUCUUUAAA
rnacentral:sRNA from 1 species